UACGAGGGGGGCGAGCGUUGUUCGGAAUUAUUGGGCGUAAAGGGUGCGUAGGCGGUUUGGUAAGUCUCGUGUGAAAUCUCCGGGCUCAACUCGGAGCCUGCACGAGAAACUGCCGGGCUUGAGUGUGGGAGAGGUGAGUGGAAUUCCUGGUGUAGCGGUGAAAUGCGUAGAUAUCAGGAGGAACACCUGUGGCGAAAGCGGCUCACUGGACCAUAACUGACGCUGAGGCGCGAAAGCUAGGGGAGCAAACAGG
rnacentral:rRNA from 1 species